rnacentral:sRNA from 1 species
GCUGGGCAUGGUGGCGCACGCCUGUAAUCCCAGCAGCUCAGGAGGCUGAGGCAGGAGGAUCACGAGUUCAAAGGCAGCCUCAACAACGGGGAGGACAAAGCAACUCAGUGAGACCCUGUCUCUA